GACGAACGCUGGCGGCGUGCUUAACACAUGCAAGUCGAACGGAAAGGCCCUGCUUUUGUGGGGUGCUCGAGUGGCGAACGGGUGAGUAAAACGUGAGUAACAUGCCCUUGUCUUUGGGAUAACUUCAGGGAACUGGGGCUAAUACCGGAUAUGAGCUCCUGCUGCAUGUUGGUGGUUGGAAAGUUUCGGCGGUUGGGUAUUGACUCGCGGCGUAUCAGCUUGUUGGUGGGGUAGUGGCUUUCCAAGGUUUUGACGGGUAGCCGGCCUGAGAGGGUGACCGGCCACACUGGGACUGAGAUACGGCACAGACUGCUACGGGAGGGAGCAGGGGGGAAUAUUGCACAAUGGGCGGAAGGCGGAUGAAGCAACGCCGCGUGCGGGAUGACGGCCUUCGGGGUGUAAACCGCUUUCGCCUGUGACGAAGCGUGAGUGAAGGUAAUGGGUAAAGAAGCACCGGCUAAAUACGUG
rnacentral:rRNA from 1 species